GACAGAGGGUGCAAACGUUGCUCGGAAUCACUGGGCGUAAAGGGCGUGUAGGCGGGAAGGAUAGUCAGGUGUGAAACCUCCAGGCUCAACCUGGAGCCGCCACCUGAUACUGGUAUGGCUAGAGUCCGGUAGGGGACCACGGAAUUCCUGGUGUAGCGGUGAAAUGCGCAGAUAUCAGGAGGAACACCAAUAGCGAAGGCAGCUCGCUGGGACGGUACUGACGCUAAGGCGCGAAAGCGUGGGGAGCGAACAGG
rnacentral:rRNA from 1 species